GGGCACUUGGCGCAGUGGUAGCGCGCUUCGUUCACAUAGAAGAGGUCACAGGUUCGAACCCUGUAGUGCCCA
rnacentral:tRNA from 1 species